GCAUUACAGAGUACUGAGCAGAGUUCCCUAUGCUAUACAGUAGGUUCUUAUUGAUUAUCUAUUUUAUAUAGAAUAGUAUUUAUAUGUCAAUCCCAAUCUUCCAAUUUAUCCCUCCCUCCUUACCAACUGGCAACCCUAAGUAUAUCUGAUACAUGUGUAACUCGACCUCAUUACAGCUUUGAUUUGCAUUUCUCUAAUAUUCAGUCAUGUUGAGUGUGGCCACCUGUGUGUUUUCUUUGGAGCAAUGUCUAUUUAGAGACACUUCCACUGUCAUUAUCAUUAUUGUAUAUCGAAAAUACUUCUCUAAAUACAAAAAUCUAUGGCCACUGUGAAGUUCUUCCAGUAGUGAAAGUGAAAGUGAAGUCGCUCAGUUGGGUCUCAGUUUGCGACCCCAUGGACUGUAGUCUACCAGGCUCCUCCAUCCAUGGAAUUUUCCAGGCAAGAGUACUGGAGUGGAUUGCCAUUUCCUUCUCCAGGGGAUGUUCCCGACCCAGGGAUCAGAACCUGGGUCUCCCACAUUGCAGGCAGAUGCUUUACCGUCUGAGCCACCAGUCAAGUUUAUUCUUCCAGUAGAAUAAACAUCAAAAAAGGACCCACAAAAGCAUCACUGAAGGGACCAGAUGGUUCUAAAGCCCAGCGCAUUCCGUACCUGUUGUACAUCUUCAGCAAGAUCAGAACCACGGUGAAGAUGAUGAUGACAACCACCACAACGGCAGCAAUGAUGGCUCCAGAACCUACGAGGAAGAGAGGCGUGGAGAUGGCCAAUGUGCAGAGAACAUAACUGUUUUGAGACACUCCUCAGCAGGCCUCUGUAGGUCUCUGCACCCAGCAAAGAGCAGGCUAACAUGUGAGACCCCGUCCCAAGAGCGGGUCUCCAUGUAAGAGACACAUCCUGCCACGAAUCUAGCUUGCUGCCAGUACCACAGUCUGGAGCUGAUUAUCACUGCUUAUCACUGCUCCAUGUAUGUUGGGAGGCCUGUUCCAUUCGCAAAGCCCCCAGUUCUCCACCUGAUCAAGUGUCUGCUGUGCUUGGUCGAGCUCAAGUAUGAACAAAGCAGUCAGGGAGCCAGACUGUGAAGGCUGAUAUCCCAAGAAGGGGAUCCGAGGAGAGACUCGUCAGAACAUCCAGAACUUUGACCUUCUCCUCCAUCUCCACCGAGGGCAGAGACAGAGGAAAGAGUGAAACCAACCCCAAGCAGGCAAAAGUCCUAAUGGGACUGGUAGGGCCUGGGGGCUGCUGGGUAUGCAGGGAAAAAGCAUUAAAGAAUUCUUAACCUGGGGUAAGACUCAGGAGACAUGGGUUUCCUUUUAUUACUCACUUGCCAUAGACUUUGGAAAGUCAUCAUCUUCCCUAGACCUUGAUUUUCCCACCUGCAAAAUGGCCUAGUUUGGGGAUGAUCUCUAAGGGCCUUUCCACCUGU